GUAAAAGUUAUAUUAUAAUAAAUAAUAAUAAGAAUAAGAAUAAAAAUAAAAAUAGAUCUUGGGUGAGUAGAUUGGUGAGUUCUUGAUAUUCAAUCUCUUUGGCAUCUACGGGAUCAUGUCGCCCCUUUUUGAUUGUGGUGUUACUAUUGGCAGUCGUGUUGUUUCGUUUUUUUUUUCCCCGCUCAAUCUACAGCUUCUAACUCUGGUUGAUUGUGGAAUAUUUAUUCUUGGAUUUGGAUUCUGUUCAAUUGGAGAGUAAAUUUUGUUGGUUAUAUUGUCUCUCGCGUUGGGAUAUCUUCUUUGAUCGAUGUGGUCUUGUUUGUUGCUGAGUCUAAGUGAAGAUCUCAAGCACUUGGGGUCCUUCCUCUAUCUGAUCGUCACUCAGGUUUUUUCUUUACCAGACUUUGUAGCCCUUGAAAGUUACGAGACUUGCUUGGAUCACUCUUUAUAGCGUAACCCCACUAGUUUGAUCUUGCUGGAAAUGAGGUAAAGGUUGUUGUAGAUCUAUGGAUAAUUAAUGGAUUAAUAAUGAAAAGGUUGUUGCAGUACAACAUGGAUAAAUAAAAACCUUGGUGGUCUUAUCAAGUUUUGUACUCUUCAUCACAACAUCCGAUGUGACCAACAAGUAACAAUUCAGCAAGCAGGUUCCUUUUUAACAAGCUAAAAUCGUGUUCUGCUGGCUUCCAUAUACAAGCCUUCUAUAUUAGCAUGCACCCUUCCUUCUACAACUGCUUCAGUUUUCCUGUCAAUUAUUCCAACAACCAGUGAUGUCUUUUGUCCUUCACCAGUAAAGGCAACAACUCGAAGAAAUAAAGUUCAGCUCUACUUCAAAUUUGAACUAGUUGGAGUCAAGAAAUAAGUUGUUGCAGAUUUAUAGAAAUUAUUGAAAAAUAUAUCUUGCUUUUAUCAGCUUGAUGUGUUUCUUUUAGCAUCAAGAGCAAGCUCCUCUAUGAGAUCAACAUAAGUAUUGAUGAUUAUUGGUAAUUGCAAUCCAUUGAUUAUAGAGAGUUUGCAUGAUCAAAUUAGUUGUUUGUGUUGCUGAGGAUAGUGCAUCUCGGUUUGGGGUUAACAGCCGCAAGAGAGUUAUGAUCGGGCAUCAAAAUGAAGAAGCACAAAUGAACUUUAGUUGAAUAAGUUUAGUUGCAAACUGGUGGGGUUAAGGUUUCCUUCUUGGUGUUUUAAACAGGCAAGAAUCAAGGGAUGAGUCACUUGAGAACUAUUAAAUGGCCUCUCAACAGCGCGCAUUUUCUUCUGAUGAAAAACCUUUUUUAAUGCUAAUCGCUGGCCUAUGUUUCGUCGUUGUGCAGUAGCUGAUGUAGUUGCUGUCGUGUAUUUUCAUUGUUGAUUUGCUGCUCAGCUUGUCGCUCAUCUCAUCCAUCAGCAACUCGUUCAUCAGCAGCCCUUCUCUUAGUCGCUAAGCUGAUCAUUGUUGAUACUUCGACACCUUUUCUUCAGUGAUUCUACUCUUAAUAUGAUGUUUUCUUCCAAAAUCUUCACACUCUCAUACUUGGUAACUCAUUUAGCUUGUGUUGGUGCACUUGGGGUAAAAGACUCUCGGUGUGAAUAACACUUGCCCACACUCAGUGCACUUGGGGUGAAAGACCUUCGGUGUGACCAAGUGUUCUGGCUUUGUUAAUAUUCCUUGUUUGAGUGGAGAUCUUGCAUCUUGUUUGCCUCGAUCCAAGUAUUGACGGUUUUGUCUAGUUCUAUUGGGUGAAGGAGCACUUGCCCGCUAAGAUUGGGGGGGGGGGGUUGGAAAUAUGUAUGUCUCCAAUCUUAGCCUUAGUUCUACUUAAAGGUGGUCAAGACAAAUAUAAUAUGCAGGGCUGAAGUGUUCUUUACCCGAAGAUGAGGGGUCAAAGGUGUAACACCACAAUACCCAUCAUCUCCUACAACGGUCAUAUCUCUUUCACUGCAUAUAUUCAUACAAUAGCAGAAGGAUAAAUUUUUUACUUUUCAUCACAAGAUAAUAUAUAUUCAAAAGUUUAUUCAAGAUGUAGAUAUAUUAUGUAUUUUGUUCCCUUUAUGGGUAAUCCUUUUAAUUUAUGUAUUAAACCGUUAUAUAUAACAAAUCCUUUGAUUUCUAGUUAAAUCUAUCUUAUUUUCUUUUUUUA